UAAUAAUUUUUUGUCUUUGGCCAACUUCGCUUUUUUUCCUUUAUAAAUCAUUCAAAUAUCUGAAGUCCAAAUACUAAUACUAAGGACAGUUUGUGAUUAACCUUUCCCUGCUCCAAGAAGUAGCCAGCAUCAGGGAUUCUUCCUUCUAAAAUAGCUUAACCAGUUUUUAAUACACCAGAAAGACUUUUGCUCACAGCCUUCUGGUCAUUUAUUUUCCUUAAUAGCCUUUUAUGAGGGACCUUAUCAAAAGCUUGCAAGGAAAUCCAAGUAAAUUAUGUUCCUUAGUUCACCUUUACCUACUAUUUCAUUAACUUUUUCAAAAACAAUAUGACAUAGUUUUCAACAUAAUUAAAGGGGUUGGGAAAAAGGGAACUUUUAACUACUGCUUGACAGUUUUUGUGGUUGCUUAGGAGAGCUGGGUCACUGUUCAUAUUCUGCCUCCGCUUAAGGACACUAAUUCAUUUCUCAGGCUGUCUGGCGAGGUCAGCCACUAGUUCAAGGUGGAAAUGACAAGUUUUUAGGCUUUCAAGUGUGCAGCACUCAGCUCUCCAGAGAGCACGAAGGAAGGAAACUGCAAGUUUAUCCAGGUCUGACCCAGAGGAAGAGGAAAUGAUGGGAAGAACCAAGACAAGGGCAGAGGGAGGUGUCUCUUUGGAGGGGUAGUUACUCUGAAAGAGUCUCAGACACUCUCAAGUAACUCUUUAUUAUUAUUAUUUUUAAUGAGAAAAGGAAGGACUGAUAACAGAACUUGAGAAAACGUUUAGAGUUCCACAGUGGGUAUGCAAGGCCAGAAUGCGAGGGUGAGCAGAGGCUGGCGAGAACAACAAGGAAAGGGUUAGGAACUCAAAUAAGCUCACACAGCUAGUAGUAGCAGUAUUAAAAAUCAUCAUCAUCAUCUUCAUAAUAAUAGCAGCUGUAUUUGUUGAGUGUCUCCUUUGUGCAAGUAUGUGCUAGGUAUGGGCACAUGCCCAUCUCAUUGAAGCUUAAUAACCAGGGAUGGGAGAUAUCAUUAUCCUCAUUUAUAAAUGAGAAAAAUAAGGCACAGAGAGUUUAAAGGACCUGGUGAAGUUCACACAAUUAAUAAAUUAUCAGGUUUGGCAUGUGAUCUUCUUUUUUGAAUUCUGCAGUACAUGGAUUUUUAUGAUGCUAGUUAGUCAAUUCUUAGCACAUUCAAUAGCAAAACUGGCCCGUAAGUCAAAUAUUUAAGUAGAUGUUCUAAACAUUCUAAAUAUUAAUUAUCAGUUUUCAUAAGUAUUAUUACGCAAUAGUUUUUAAAAAGGCAGAUCAUAUUUAAUUUGCAUUAAUGAUGCACCAAGGCGUUUCAGGCUUGCAAUUCUUAAAACAUCUUUAUGAAUCUCCAUUUUCAUUGGCUUGAGAAAUUGGAAGUGCUUGUUUACAGAAGACUCUGGCUGACAAAAUGCUAGUAAAAUUGGUUUGUAAUGUAGAAAGGAACUAGUAAGGAAAAGCAGAAAUGCCUCCAUUUCUUUUUGGCUUACUUCUUGGUUUCCACUGGCUCAAUGCCUAUUUUUCCUUAUGUCCUGAGAAACGGGCCAUUUUUAGUCUUUUCCAUGACUUCAGAAAGCCCACCAUAAUUGUCCUGCCACAUGCUUCAUGCUCCAUAGGAUGUGAUGCCCGAAUGUUGGAAAGCAUUUGUUUUUAAAGUAUCUUUUGAAGACUUGCAUCCUCUCCCGAGGUGUUCCCGCAAGCUGCUAAGUUCCAAGUGACCAUGGCACCUUACCUUCUGGUCUGUCCAUGGCUCUGGUGAAACACCCAGUAUCUAAAGGGAGCAGAUAAGCACCUGAAGGCACCUCUGCCAGGCCAGGUGGCCCAGCUAGUAGGUUCCCAGCUCCUGGUUUGUCCAGACAAUGACCAUUCAGACCAGAAGCCUGAGAAGCUGAAGAACCAGAAAAGCAACUUGGGCUUUUUGUCAAUGAAUGAAUGUACUAAUUGGAAAGAAUGCAAAUGUUGCAGACUGAGAGAAAGAGAAAUAGCCUUCAGGGGAGGAGGUGGAUGUACCCUCAUGGUGGUGGGGACAGGGGACCUUGGGUUUGCUUGUUACCUCCAAGUCUUUGCUGGUCUUUGCAAGGUCUCUGAGUCUUGCUGCAGGACAGGUUUGGUCUGUUGCCUGGGUCCCUGGGCUGGUGUCACAGAUGAGUGGCUCCUUUAUUGUGUCUUUUAGAUUUCGCCCUUAGUCCUGCCCAUGGUCCUGGCCAUUUGCCUCUGGAGGUAGAAUCUUUACACUCUGUAGCCAAUUUGUUCUAAUCCCAGGCUUUCACAUGUCCUCCUGCCUCUCAGUACCAUUAUAUCAUGCCACAGGAGUAUUUGGGAGCUUCUGGUUCCAUGCGUACCAAGUACAGGCAGACCUUGGGAAGCCAGAAACUCUAUUUCAUGGCACCUAGGCAACUAUCUGAGCCAGGCGAACUUACCUGGCCAUACUACCGUAUUGCUGAUCGUUGGAUAAUUCACAGUGGGUCCCUUGAAACCUGUCAAUGUUUCCAUUUUGUCUCAUUUGUUAAAUGGGAAAUAUUUUACUUGCAUUAAAUCCUCAUAAGUAAUUUUAAAGUAGGAAGAACCUGUGUUUUUAAUAUAAAAAUGUUAUUUUUGAAGUAUCUAGUUGGUGACUGAGAGAAGAAAGAUAAGAAAGAUAAUCUCAGUUUGUUCAGUCAUCAACGAGGAGUCAAGUAAAUGAAUAACAUAUUGUAAUACAACACAGAUAGCCAUAAAAAUCACCAAUCCCAUUUCCUAUUCCAGAGUAUACAGGAAGACUUCGUUUUCUCCUUUUGCAGUUUUUUUUGAGGCCAUGUGGCAGGGUUCCGGUCAAAAAAAUUGGGACAGAGGGAUAUAAGCCACUUCUAGUCAUGUCCCUUAAAAACAUCUUAAAGAAUAUUUCAGUUUUCCUUCCUGUUCUACAGUCAGCUAAGAGGCCAUUGGUUUGAGUUCCUCAGUCAUCGCUUGGAAGAGAGCCUCCAAGGAGAGCUUCUAGACUUGCAUUGGAUAGCUACAUAAGGAAGAAAUAAACUUGUGUGUGAAAUCACUGAGACUGCUGUUACAGAAACCGGUAUUUAUUGCUGUAGUAUAGAAAUUGGUACCAGAAGUGGGAUAUUGACAUAACCAAACCAUAUUCCUUGACCUUUACAUGAUCCCAAGUAUUUAUCAUUGGUUUAGUAAUACAGCAUCUGGCAGGAAGGAAACUAAUACCAGAAAAUGGGAAGAUGGAGAUUCAUGUUAUGUAGUGAUAAAUACAACUAUUGCUGCUAUAAAUGAGAAGUUAGUCCAUGUGCCUGGUAUAUACCUUUAGGGGAAAUGGUUAGCAAACAGAAUUUUAAUAGUGGUAUUGGCUAACGUUGAAAUAUCUCUUUCGUGUAUUACAAGAAAGUUACAAGAAAGAGAUGACUCAGGAAAUAAUUAUUGCGUUUGCAAGCAGAAAUAGAAUAGAAUAUAGAAUAUUGGCCUCGUAGGGUUGGAAAAAAUAAAUUUCUCUUAGACUCAAACAGUAAGAUAUGGCACCAAAAAUGACUUUAAGUGAUAAAUAUCUAGCAAAAGUUUUCAAUUGAAUGAAGUCAUUUGAGGUGAAAAUCAGAUUAGUCGUGUGGUCUUCUCACCUUUUGUUUCUUAUAGCCUCAACGUAAUUAGGUAGUUACGUUGGGGAAAAAAAGGCAUAGAGGUGAAGACACAAAGGAAAAAAGGUAAAUCUGAUAACAAUGUUUAGAAAGUAACUCUAGGUAUAGUUACUGGCACUUGGAACUGACUAAAAGCGAAGAGAUCUACAUCAUCUAAGAUUUUGAUAAUUGUAUUACAAUGAAAUCAGGAGCCUGGACUUAAAAGGCCUUUGCUUGGUCCAGGCUUAAAACAACUUUUGAGUUCCCAACACAUUGCAGACGAAGCACACGUCAGGCUUCUAGAACUGUACUGCUCUGAAGGAAAAUGAGUUCCCCUGAGCCUACUUCACCCCUGAGCCUCUUCUAAGGAGAAGAACAAAUACAGGAGUCCUUCCCAGAGUCAAGUCCACACAUCUCCACCACACCCAGAGUAUCUGAGCUUCCCAUGUUGGCACAGAAAGGUUUCAGCAUUGCCAAGGACCAUGAUGUGUCUUGUCUCUUAUUUCCCAUUACAAAUAGUACUAUUUAUUGCAGUUUUCUCGUCAUUUUUCCACCAUUAUAUAUGGUUUAUGAUGGUGGAGAUCUGGAAUACAGAUAACUAAUGUUUUACAUAUGAAGGUCACUGCACUGAGAGGGGCCGUGUCAGACUGAUGAAUAAGAAAGAUGGUGCCUCACCCAGAUAUCCUGGACAUUGAUCUGGAGCUGGACGCAAAGGAUGUGAAAAUGGGAGAGCCACGUAAUGGAAGGUUCCCAGAUUUCAGAGCUGUCACUUGGAGGAGGGCCACCCAGUGAAGAGUGACCAUAUGGAUUUGAUCCCUAUCCUUCAGAGGUGCUCAGCCCAAGGGAACACGGGUAGUAGAUUAAGCACUGACCAGGAGAAGCAGUCCUAGGGCAGCCUCCGGGCCAGCUUUCCCUAAUAAGAAGGCAGAGUUCCUCUUCACCCAGACUUCCGACCUAUAGAGGUAGCCUGGGGUCCCAGGAUGCCCUUGCACUCAGAGAUGUCCCCAGAGUCCUAGGGGAAUGGAGGAUAACUAGGAGGAAGCUGUUCGUGGCUGCGGAUGGGGUCUAUACAUUCUUCUCUAUCUCAGUGCUGUCUGCUAUUGAAUUUUUGUGCAGAUCACAUUAAUUUAAAGCCAGUUCUCAAGAAGCCCCCCCGGCAUAUCUACCAGUUGCUCCCCUUUCCUGCCAUUAAUCAGUGUCUGCUAAUUAAACAACAAACUCCUGUUUGUCCAAACAGCUGCCAACAUCCCCACCCCAAGGCAGUUAAAUGAGGAUAAAUGAGUCAGUCUUAUUAAAAAAUGACUUAAAUUUAUCAAAUUCUAUUUAUGUUUCUUUUACAUCCCAAUUUUCUGUAGAUUUAGUGACUCCAAAUGAUAAGGUCUCAAGCUUAUAAUAAUUUAUCCCUUGAGUAACACAAGGCUUGGUGGUAUUUCAGUAAUAUUCAUGACAGCAGCAGUCGUGCUAACAAGGACUGAUGUCACCAGAGCACGUUCUAUGUGCCAAGCACGGUGCACAACACUUUACAUGCAUUAUCUCAUUUAAUUUUCACAAAACCUCGCAGAGGUAAAUAUUAUUAUCUUCCUCUGCAUAGAAGGAAAUGAAUGUUCAGAAAGAUUAAGUCAACUCACUGAUGUCCCAUCGGUGGUCUUUCAUAGGCCUCUGUUGCUGUCUCAUUGAACUAUUGAAAUUAGAAAAACCUGGGGACCUUGUUAACCUACAGAUUCCUGGGCCCCAUCUUAGAUGCAGGGAGUCAGAAUUUCUGGGAGUGUGGCCCUGGAAUUUUCGUUUGUAAACACAUUCCCUAAGAGACUUGUAUACACGCUAAAGUGGGAGAAUUCACGGCCUCUGGCUUCUGUGAUGUUUUAAACGCACUAUAUAAUUUCAAUAGCAAAAGAGUUGGGCUUUGGGAAGGGAGUGUGUGGUGAACCCUGAAAGCUGAAUGGACUUCCUUCCUGUGGAGGAGCAGUGGGAAAAAUUGGAGGCAGAGAGCUGUGUUUCAGUCCUUGAUUGAGCUUAUGUGAGUUAUUUAAUCUCUCUCAGUCUCUAUUUUUUUUCAUUUGUAAACCAGGAAGGAUAAUUUUAUUUUCCAGGUGGUUGUGAGGUGUGAAAGAGAUGAGAGUAGAAUAAAGUUGAAAGAGUUGAAAGCCCUCAACAAAUGUAUGUGGUAUCAAUCAUGGGUUUCCCUGGGGCUGAGGAAGCCACCGCAAGCCUGUGCACAAUGCCAGCCACCUUGUAUGGAUACAGAGGAGGCAAAGGGACUAACAAACACUCCCAGAGACUGGAUAUCUUGAAUAUCUGUCCAACUUUCUUGGGAGGGGCCAUUUCUUCUGUAACUCAAAGGAAUUUCUUGUUUUUAAGCCAGGGAGGCAUGCUUUCUAUCUGCUGCUGGUACUCCCAGACCAAGCUGUUGCAUGUGGGACUGAAGUGUGACUUCUGCCUCAGUUUCGUCCACCUGUGCAGGGAAGAGAAAAAUGCCUGCACCUCCAUGGUCAUACCCUCUGUUGGAUCCACCUCCUUAAGCCAGAAUUAUUGAAUGUUCUCUAUGUGCCAGAAUGAUUAUUAUUUCAUUUGAUUCUCACAAUAAUGCCGUGAAGUCUAUACAGACAUACCUUGGAAAUAUAGUGGGUUUGGUUCCAGACCACUGCAAUAAAGCUAAUGUCGCAAUAAAACGGGUCGCACGAAGUUUUUGGAUUAGGCUUUGGCUUAAGGGAAUUUUGUGGCUGGUUUGAUCUUUUAUCCAGACCGCUAACACUUUCUCCCUAUCAGCAAUAGGGCUGUUUUGCUUUCUUAUCAUUCCUGUGUUCACUGGAGUAGCACUUUUAAUUUCCUUCAAGAACUUUUCCUUUGCAUUCAUAACUUGGCUAACUGUUUGGCACAAGAGGCCUGCCUAGCUUUUGGCCUAUCUAAGCUUUUGACUUGCCUUCCUCACUGAGCUUAAUCAUCUCUAGCCUUGGAUUUCACGUGGAAAAUGCGUGACUAUACCUUUCACUUGAACACUUGGAAGCUAUUGUAGGGUUAUUAACUGGUCUUAUUGUGUCUCAGGGAAUAGGGAGGCCCAGAACGAGAGAGAGAGUGAGAGAAACGGGAAAACAGCAAGUCAGUGGAGCAGGCAGAACACACACAUUUAUUUAUUAAGUUUGCUGUCGUAUGUUCGUGCAGUUCAUGGUGCCCCAAAACAAUUACAAUAAUAAGAUCAAAGAUCCCCAGUCAUAGAUCGCCAUAACAGACACAGUAAUCGUGAAAAAGUUUGAGAUAUUGUGAGAAUAACACAGGUAUUGUGAGAAAUAUGACCUAGAGACACAUGCUGUUGGAAAAAUGGCACCAACAGACUUGCUUGAUCCAGGGUUACACAAACCUUCAAUUUGUAAAAAAACUGUAGUAUCUGCAAAACGUAGUAAUGUGUAAUAAAAUGCAGUCUGCCUGAACUUCAAUUAUUCCCAUUUUAUAGAAGAGGAAAUAGAUGCAGGGAGUUUGAUCUGCCCGAACUAGUAAAUGGUAGAACUCUGGGACUAACAUUCCUAUCCUCUAUGCUACACUCCUAGGAAAGAACUCUCAGACAGGAUUGGACUGACAGUGUGUUAAGCUUCGCGCUGUUCUGAGCCCUCUGAAGGAGUGUCCAUAUUUGAAAGCACCUCCUUCCUUUUGCUGGCCCUCCACAAUGUGGCCUAAGUUAUUCAAUUAGGAAGGGAAAUAAUUGGCAGUGGAGAAUGCCUCUAGCAGUGGUAAUUACCUCCAGUGCCUUGUAGGAAUAGUCAAGCUACAUUUCAGUUUAUGCUGUAAAACCUUAAUUAUAAUAUAAACAGCUGCCCUUCAGCCCAGUGGGGCAGCCUUCCCCCGCCUUCCUUCUCUGGCCUGGGAAUGGCCCUGCCUCCUGAAUGGUCAGGGAGGUCCAGGGGCGGAAGGAGACCUGGGAGGAGGGGAGCCAAUGCCUGUGUGUGCGAUGGGGUUUGGGAGAUUAAGCUAGAGGGAGACACUGCCAGGGUCCCAUCUUCAAAUGAUGAAGCCAAAGGCAGCAUCCCCGUCUUGGUACCACUCACAGAGUCUCUUGGGGGAGCAGCCUCCGGCCGUUAGCAGUCAGCUCAGUGCCAUUAGGCUAGGAUAGGGUUUAGCAGGCUAUGGUAUCAUUUCAGGGUAACAUGUCUUUCCAUUUAAUACCCUGUGAGGGAGAACAGAGUUUUCCCUUCUAGAUCCAGACUUCCUGGCCACGUAGGAGCCCUGUUGUGUGCCUGGUGCACUCUAGGUAGUAUGCGAGGCAUGGUCGCAAGGGUUCCCCACUUCAACUUCACAGCACUUGGAUACACAGAAAAUUAACAUCCUCAUUUUACUGUUGAGGAAAAUGAGCCUUUGAAAGUUUAAAUGGAGAUAAGUCUUGGAAGACAGAUAGAUCUGUAAGCGACUUAAGUACAGGAAGGAGAAGGACACUCAAUAUUUUUGUUCAGAGCACUGGGAAGGAGAGAGAGGGAUCAGUCACCAUCGGGCAUUUGAGAAGGUCCGGGAACAGAGGGCUGGUGAUAAGGGAGAAUAACAUCAGAGGGGUUGAGAUUGCUGAUUGCUGGGUUCACAGAUGUACCCAUGACUGGCCCAGGUACCCCAUGAGGGGCUGCUCUGUGCCACCUGACCACUGGAUUGUAACCUGGGCUGAAAGAAUCAGAAGUCAGUGUGCCGAGGCAGGAGUCCUCAGAUGGUCAGGACUGACUCUUCCACUCUUAAGGGCAAAAUGGAAAAUGUGAGCUUGUUGGUAGUCUUCAAAAUAGGGUGAGCAAUCCAUGCCCCUGAAGAGCAGGGAUAAUUAUAGGCAUGCCAUUGUUUUAUUGUGCUUUGCAGAUAUUGCAUGUUUUUACAAAUUGAAGAUUUAUGGCAACUCUGCAUACAGCAAAUCUGUGGAUGCCAUGUUUUUCUAAUAUCACACGCUCACUCUGUAUCUCUGUCUCACAUUUUGGUAGUUCUACCAAUAUUUCACACUUUAUUAUUAUUAUUAUAUCUGUUAUGAUGAUCUGUGGUCAGGGAUCUUUGAGGUUACUAUUGUAGUUGUUUUGAGGUACCAUGAAUUGCACCCAUAUAAGACAGCAAACAUAAUCAAUAAAUGUUGUGUGUUCUGACUGCUCCACCAA